rnacentral:rRNA from 1 species
GGCCUAACACAUGCAAGUCGAGCGGUAACAGGAAAGCGCCUGCGCUUUUGCUGACGAGCGGCGGACGGGUGAGUAAUGUCUGGGGAUCUGCCCGAGGGCGGGGGAUAACCACUGGAAACGGUGGCUAAUACCGCAUAAUGUCGCGAGACCAAAGUGGGGGACCUUUAUGGGCCUCACGCCAUCGGAUGAACCCAGAUGGGAUUAGCUGGUAGGUAGGGUAAUGGCCUACCUAGGCGACGAUCCCUAGCUGGUCUGAGAGGAUGACCAGCCACACUGGGACUGAGACACGGCCCAGACUCCUACGGGAGGCAGCAGUGGGGAAUAUUGCACAAUGGGCGCAAGCCUGAUGCAGCCAUGCCGCGUGUAUGAAGAAGGCCUUCGGGUUGUAAAGUACUUUCAGCGGGGAGGAAGGGGUUGAUUUGAACAGAGUCGGCUUUUGACGUUACCCGCAGGAGAAGCACCGGUUAAC